GGAAGCUUCUGGGGCAGGGUGGACAGGGAGCUGCAGCUGGCGAUGCCCACAGAAGCUGACUCCCACAGAAGGAGCCUUGACGCUUGUGAGACAGACAGCAAGCUACCAAACUCUUUCCCUCUCUGCUAUCCACAAUCCCACAGAGGGCUGGUGGCGGGUCUGCCCUCGGAGGAUCAACAGCAGCUGGUGGCAGCAGAAGCCGGCGCAGGCCAGGCCGAUGGCAAACCAGAGGGCUGAUGACUCCUGGGACGAGAAAGGAGCCCUGGUGAUGUGGGAAGAGAAGGGGAUCCAGCUUGAACUUGGCGAGGAAAGCCUCAGAUCCUGGGAGAUGGCACCCAGAUGCUUAGAGGAGACCCUCUCCCUGCCUUCUCUUUCCGGGCUGGAGGCAAGGAAAGGGGUUGUUCUCAGAAGGACAGGGGAAGAAGCUAAGGACCCUCAAGACAGAGGUGGCACAAAGGCAGCUGUCUAGACAGCAACGCCUCCUUCCUGCCAGGCUAGGAGCUCUGGCUGGGAGGACGCAGGAGAGUGACAACGUGAUGGAGCACGGGACCUAGUUAUCAGGAGGAAUAAGUCACGAGCUCAAGCUCAAGGGCAGCCCAGAGCACCGACAGAGAGAAUAAUUCAGCCAUCAAUGUUAGCAAGAGGACAGCGUGGCCACCGGAACAAUCAGCCAGAGCUGUCCUGCCACUCAGAGCUUGCUAAGGCUGGGAGAGGCCCUCAGGUCAUUGGUUCAGCCCCCUGCUGUGGGGCAGGACCUCCCCUCAAACCCUCUUAACCAAGCGCUCCCCAUUCCUAGUUUUAAACAUCCACUGAGUCAGGGAUUUUGUGUUCUGCCUCAGAUCUUGGGUGGUCGGUCCAUUCUAGGUUUGAUCCCCAGUUAUGUGAACUUGCACAGGUUUCUUAAGCUCUCUGAGCUACACGCAUUUGCUCAUCUGUAAAAUGGGUAUAACAAUAGAGAUGAUUAACCUGGACUUCAUAGGGUUGCAAGAUGCAAGGAAAUGAGGCGUGAGAUGGCCGCAUUCUGGUUCACGCUCAGUGUGUCACUCCCCAAGGGCCAUUUUACAGACAAGGAGACGACAUUUAUAAAGGGUGCAAGUUUAACUCCUAAGACCCCAAGCUUUCCAGGGCUUGCUGUCUGCCUGAGCUGCAACUUUGGCAACUGUGGUACAAACACCCAUCAGCCAGGACAGCGGGUCCCGCAAGUCCAGGAGAGACUGCAGACGCCUCCCUUAGCCUUUCACUGCCUGCAUGGUACCCACCCCACCUCCACCAGGGACCCACCCUAUCCUAUUCUCUGUCCCCAGCCACCAUGAGCCUUAGCCCACCUCCUCCUGGGUCCCCCUGGCCUCCAAUUUCCAGCCCCUUGAGGGAGGAGUGGACUCAGUGGCCAGCGAGGGCGUGGAUCGCACCAGCAGCCUCCUCUCACCCUCACCCCUAGGAGCUUUGGUAACAGGUUUUUCUUUGCAAAAUGGGAGAAAUACAGGUCCCGCUGCCAGGGGAUUGGAAGCUCGCUGCCCCAGCUGGCUUUUAGAGCAGCCCCUCCAUGGGCCCGGGGCGGCAGUGGGACAGGCCUUGCAUUGGGCUCUGCCAUCCCCUGACCCACUUCUUCCCUGUCAGCACACAUUAACUUGGGCAGCCGCCUGCAGGCGGGAGGAUCCUGGGGCCGCGGUGCCCUGUGGGCUCAGGCAGUGCUGAUAGGCAACGGCGGCCCAUCAGAGCUGUCAGGCCCAGGCCUGCCUUGCAACUCAGCCCCAGGGACGAGCCUGGGCUGAUGGAAGCUGAUUCCCGCAGACUUCUUUCUGGCGCUACAUCAAAGCAUUGAAGAAAAGACAUUGUGGCCUUUUCCUGGCCCCCUGCAGCAGCUCCAAAGGGCUAUUCUGGGACCUGCUCUCUCUCCCAGUGUUUGAAGUUACCUAGCCUGGUUGCUUCAGCUCCACUUAACUGUUUCGUAAAAUAGUUAUGCUCCUCUUAGAAUACUGUAGAAUUUUCCUAAGGGGCCUGGAAGGUCAUAGCACACACAGUCCCCUGCCCCCGCCUCCCACCAAGCAGCAGUGACAUGCUAGACAGAUGGUCACCCAGCAUCUUCGUUCACACAUCCAAGGACAAGGAGCUCUCCUCCUCCUGACAUGGGUCCUCCCUCAAGAAGCAGCUUCUGAGAGGCAGUCCCGGGAGGCAGUGUGGAGUAGCAGAAAGGGCAUGCGCCCAGGUUGGGAUGCUACCAUCGGGGUGGCUCUGAAGCAGCUCCAUCCUGCUAUGCCUCCCGAUCCUGAGCCUUAAAAAUGGAGGUGGUGACACCUGCACUGCAGAUUGGCCUUAAGGACUGGAUGGAAUGAGACACACAUGGCAGGUGGCCUGUACAGUGCGAGUCCCCUUUGCCUCCUGGACUUCCUGGUGGCACCUCCUUCACUGGUCCACCUCUCCAAAUGCCACGGCACCUGUCACAUGGCGUCACCUCCAUAUCCCAGGUAAUAGUGAGGUUCAGAGAAGUGACAAAACCUGCAGGACCUGCACCAGUGCCACAAAGCCAGGAGAAAGGACAACUUCCAAAACCUAACUGGCCAGGCUCUCCCUCUGCAGCACCAGCCAAGCGCCUCUGAUCAGCAGCCAUCUGCCAGCAGAAGACCCUCUCGGGACCCCCACUCACUACCAGCCCAUGCCCUGGUGGCAGAUCUGACUCGGGCGUCAGUCCCAGAGCUGGGGGGACAACUCAAGCCCUAUUAAACAGCUUGUGCCUGCUUGCGCUCCCCUGGCCUCCUGGGCAGACGAGACAGGGUGUGCUCUCAUCCACUCAGACUGCCAGUGAGGGAAGAAGCGAUGGAGAGGAGAAAGUCGAGCAGGUGGGGUGUAGCUGGCGGGGGACGUGCUGG